rnacentral:lncRNA from 1 species
CUUUCUGCGUCUCUUCAAGCUGGUUGCAUCAGGGCCGUGUAGCUUUUCGGUGCUCCUGACCUCUGAGUGUGGACCUGUGUCCUUGAGGUAUGAGGGAGUUUAAAAUCCCUUCUCUCUGCAUUUCACAGAAACUCAGCACCCAGGUGUGUUAUCAGGCACCAGCGCUUGCUCUGCAGCACCAAUUGGGCUGAGCAAGUUCUCCCCACCCUUCCGCGGGCCCUUCGGCUACACGUGCGUGGCUUCACCUGCGGCAGCUCCCAGGACAGGCUGGCUCAGCUCCUGCGAGCAGAGGAUGGCAGUUCCUUCAGACAGGCACGUGGUGGCAAGAUCUGGGGUUCGGUUUCCUCGUCCUACACAAAGAAAGCUUCUUGAGUUCGGACUCCUAGCCACUACCGGUAGGUCCUGCCUUGCUCAGCUGUCGUCGUCUCAGUGUGGUUUCGCCAGGUGGGGUGGGAAGGUGGGUGGGAGGGGAGGAGCUGGAG